rnacentral:rRNA from 1 species
GAUGAACGCUGGCGGCGUGCUUAACACAUGCAAGUUGAACGGGAAUUAUUUUAUUGAAACUUCGGUCGAUUUAAUUUAAUUCUAGUGGCGGACGGGUGAGUAACGCGCGGGUAACCUGCCUUAUACAGGGGGAUAACAGUCAGAAAUGACUGCUAAUACCGCAUAAGCGCACAGGACCGCAUGGUCCGGUGUGAAAAACUCCGGGGGUAUAAGAUGGACCCGCGUUGGAUUAGCUGGUUGGUGGGGUAACGGCCCACCAAGGCGACGAUCCAUAGCCGGCCUGAGAGGGUGAACGGCCACAUUGGGACUGAGACACGGCCCAGACUCCUACGGGAGGCAGCAGUGGGGAAUAUUGCACAAUGGGGGAAACCCUGAUGCAGCGACGCCGCGUGAAGGAAGAAGUAUCUCGGUAUGUAAACUUCUAUCAGCAGGGAAGAUAGUGACGGUACCUGACUAAGAAGCCCCGGCUAACUACGUGCCAGCCGCCGCAGUAA